UCUAUUUGAGCACAAGCAUGUUGUACUUUAGGGUUUGAGUUAUAGAACAAAAACAAACAAAAAUCAAAUUAUUCAGAUUAUUCCUCCAUAAACUCUACUCCUAAUUAAUAGGUUGUUAAUUCUUCCUCUUAGACUGCAAGCACACCAAGGGGAGUUUCUGGACGGCUAGAGGACAUCUGAGGAGCAUGGCUAAGCCUCAAACCCUCCUUAGGACUACUGUGAACCCCUAUACUUCUGCAGCUACAGUUCCCAAAUUUCUGGGCUCCAUCCCAACAAAAUGUCUAGAAAAAUUUGCUCUAUUUUUGAUCCUCGUUUUUUUUUUGUUUUGUUUUUUUUUUUUUUUUCCUCAUUUCAGAACAGUGAUGGCUUUUCCAGGUAAAGCAUCUUGUUACCUUAUAAGUUUCAUUAAAUAGAUGGCCUUUGAACUAGACCUUGCAGAAUGGGUAAAAUUUAUUUUGGAAAAGAAGUGAAAGAGGGCUAUCAGAGAGUGUUUUCAUGAAUGUAUAAGCCUGGAAUCUGGAUGUCUUUGAUAAGGAGCGAUAAAAGGGUACAUUUGGGUGUGGAUUAAUUCACUUACUCAGUAUAUACAUAUAUAUAGAAACCACAAUUAGAUACGGGAAAUAUAGCAAAGGAUUAGACCUGGUCCAGCUCUCAUGAUGUUCAGAGACAGUGAUGGUUCCGGGGCAUAGAGACGCAGUGGACAUCAAGAGGUGGGCUAAUUCAUUAUUUGAAGACUCUUCAAUGACACACAAAGGAGUUUGAAUUUUAUCCCAUCACUACUUAUAACAGCACUUUUUUUGACACUAAUCACAUGCUGGGCAGUAUUCACUAUUUAUUAUGGUAACAACCUUAUGAUAUAGAGAGAUAUUUGUUAUCUCCAUUUUACUGACAGGGAGACUGAAGCAUGGAGUAGGUACCUAACUUGGCUAAGGACUCAGAGCUAAUAAGAGGUAGAGUCAGGAUUGAGUCCAGGUAUUUUGGCUUCAGAGUCUAUAGUCUUAUCAUUUGUAAAUAUAUAAUAUGUGGCUAAAGAGAAGCUUUUUUAUAUGAAAAAAGUAAAACAAGGUUAAUGAUGCUGGGAAAAAUCAUUGGAAGAUACAGCAGUGUGUAUCAGAGCCUGGACUAGACUCCACAAGGCUUUAGGUCCAUUGCUGCUUCUGCUCCACAUAGAGUGUGCACUAGUGUGCAAAAACUUUGUGGAUACACUUGGCUAAAUUAAGAGGAAUAUGUUUACACUACAAGAGGUGGUAAUGCUGCAGUCCNUUCAGGCUAGGGAUUGAGUCGGAGCUGUAGAUGCCAGCGUACGCCACACCCAUCACCAGAUCCGAGCCAUGUGUUUGACCUACACCACAGCUCACAACAAUGCCAGAUCCUUAACCCACUGAGCAGAGCCAGGUUCAAAACUUGGAUUCAUUUCUGCAGUGCCACAAGGCUUGCUGCAUUCUUUUGUGCUGGUGAGACUAAUAGUGAGCAGUGAGAGGGUUCAGUUGUGUCUGUCUUCCUCUCCGAAUACAUCAGCUGGGGCCCAAAGUUAACAUAUCCAAAGGUAGAAAUGGUUUGUUUUUGUUGUUCCAAGCAAGGUCAAACUUGCAGAAAGGUGCGUUUGGUUGGGUGAGGAUGACCCAGCUAUCUCGAUGUCCUUUUACUAAUCACGGCAUACGAGGUGGUAGAGUCACAAAAUACCUCAUCGUCAGCUGCCUUAGAGACUAGCUUGACCUCCCCCAGGACUCGAUCUACUGUGAAAUGCAUUCAGGCACAGGGAAUAUCAGUGCAAAAACCCCAGGAUUUAUUCCUCACUAAAAGGUGGCUUGGAGGGAUGUCACACGUAGAAAGUGGACUGAUUCAUUUCCACUCCCAGCAUUGUUUCAAUCGAGCUUGGCACAAAGAUGAUCAAUGCUGACUCAGAGCUAUGUCCAGAUGGAGAGAGAGCCUUCUAAACUAUCACAUCCAACCCAGUCCUGGUCUACCACUCCCCCUCGAGUCUCUAGAAUCCUCACUGUCCUAUCUAUAGGGUGCACCCAUUCCAGAGGAUAAGACUCCACUCAUAUUUGGUCCUUUGCCUUCCCAGCAGGACCCCAAAACCCCCUCACCCUUUCAUCUAUGCAGACUGGCACAGAAGAAAUGAUUCUGAAAAAUAAACUAGCUAAUCAUUAGAUGAAAGCAAGCUAUUCUCUUUAUUGGUGAUGCAUCCUGCUUUGAAGGACCUGGUGCAUGAGUUGUGGUGGAGACACUGCUUGGCAUUGACCCAUUUCCCAAAUUAGAAAGACUUAACUCUUCAUGCACAGGUAUUGCUAGACCCCUACAAACCUUGGAUCCUGGGGAGAGAACUGUACGAUAUAGGAUGGAAAGGAACAGAAGAGAACGCAGACUCUUCCAAAGGGAAAAGGAGUUGUGCCGAGUAUGUACAGGUUGUUACUUCCCAGAUUACUCCAGGAUUAGUCCUGCAUUUCUCUGCAAGAGAGUGAGGAAUGGAACAGAGAGGCACUAGGAGUGUUUCCCUAAUUGAAUUCCCUCCACAAGGAAAGAACCAUGAGGAAGAGGGGAAGAGUAGUUCCCUUUCGCCAGUGUUAAGAGCACAUUUUGUGCUCUUAUUUAUUUGUUUAUUUUUCUUUUUAGGGCUGCACCUGUGGCAUAUGGAGGUUACCAGGUUAGGGGUUGAAUUAGGAGCCUUAGCUGUUGGCCUAUCACACCAUAGCCACAGCAAUGCGGGAUCCGAGCUGCAUCUGUGACCUACACCACAGCUCACAGCAACGCCAGAUCCUUAACCCACCGAGUGAGGCCAGGGAUCAAACCCGCAUCCUCAUGGAACCUAGUUGGGUUUUCUAACUGCUGAGCCACAAAGGGAACUCCACAUUUUGUGCUCUUAACACUGUGUGUUCCCUGCCCAGGAAAAGAGUAAAUGCUUGUCAAGCCUGUUCUUUGCUGACCCGUGUGGGCCCCUCCCACAAGGAUAACACUGUACCUUGGGUCCCAUGAGCAGGUCUGAAUUCCCCCAACACCCCCUGCUCAAAGACCCUAAAAUGGGUCAGAAGGGCAUAUUGUUUAUAUCAACAAAAAGAAUGAGCAUUUCAUCUCUGGUUGAUUUUCCAGUCUACAUUUUUUUCCCAACAAUGUUGCCCAUCAUAAUCGGUUAUGUGAUCUUUUUUGAGCUUGACUGAUAACAUAAUUAUUCUCCAGCAACAAAAUGUCAAUAAAGGGAUGGCCCAAAUGUGAACAUAAACACUCUGCUACUAUGCCAUUACUGGGGAAAUAUUAAAAUAGGGAGAUGAAAUUAGUUUAAAGGUAAAGUCCAAAUAUGUUACAUUUCCACAGAAUUAAGGUCCAAAAUCAAUUUUCCUUAGGCCUGUGAUUUAAAAUUCCAAAGUUUAUAAAGUACUUCUCAUUUUUUUUUUUCAGUCCUUUCAGUCUCUGUUGAAAGUUUUCAGAGACAGUAUUCUUUUAGGACCUGAAGAUUGUGUUUCUUUCUCUUUGGAAGAAAUGUGUUUCCUCUACCAGGACCUAAGAAUUGUAUUUGUUCUGAGCCUCCGAUGUCAUCACUGUUUUACAGAUUCCCAGGAGUUAUUAUGAAAAACAAGAUUAUCACAACUCUGGCACCACAUCCCAGCAUUGGAGAAACAAAGCAAUCCUUGCUCCUAAAAGAGUUACUUCAGACAAAAUUAUUUUCAGCCAGUCUUUUGUGUUGCCAAGACUGUCACAGGAACUUAUGAUUGUCCGAAAAGGACAUGGCUGUCUUGGUUGGGGUCUUCCUGGGAUACCAGGAAGUUUAUGUCCAUUUUCUGAUACUUAAGAAUUGGAAUUAAAACUCGUUUGGGAAACUCUCAGCAAGAGGUUAAUUUUGGCACUUACUGCAUCAAUGAAGCCCACUUAUGAAUCCUACACAGUAGGUCCGAAGAAUGCUUGCCUGUUUUCCCACGUCUGCAUUGAGCCCCAUGGUUCAGGCAGCUGGUGGUUAAUUGAAUCACAGAAUCUACAAAUUAACAUGGAAUCUACCACUUGCUCUUAUGAGAAGCAUUUUCAGUCCUGCAACACUAAGUCUGUUUCUUCUUCAUUUAUCUUUGGAAGUUUUAAGACUUAAAAAAAUUGUACUUAGAAUUUCCUCCCAUAUAGGUAAUUAAAUGAUACAGAACAAGUUUGACACCAGCUGGUGACAAGAAUUGGAAGGGGUGAGUGGCUUGAUGCCUGACUCUGUGGAGAAGCCUGUGCUAGUUCUAGCCUUGAAAUUUCCCUCCCUGGCCUUGAAUCUUUUUAAAAAUUAUUAUUAUUAAAGUAUAGUUGAUGUACAAUGUUGUGCCAAUUUAUGCUGCACAGAAAAGUGACCCAGUCAUAUAUGUAUGUACAAAUAUAUACAUACAUAUAUAUUCUUUUUCUCAUGCUGCAUCUUCCAUCAUGUUCUAUCCCAAGAUGUUGCACAUCGUACCCUGUGCUAUAGAGUAGGACUUCCUUGCUUAUCCAUUCCAAAUGUAAUAAUGUGCCUCUACUAACCCCAAACUCCCCAUCCACCCCACUCCCUCUCCCACCAACCUUGGCAACCACAAGUCUGUUCUCCAUGUCUGUGAAUCCUUUUUGAAACUAGGGGCAGUCAAUGCAGUCUCCUACCUAGAGCUAAUGCUAACAAUUUAAUGCUAGAAGUUCUGUUGUGCUCCGUAAAAAUUCACAAUUCACUCUUUUAUCAAAUGAAGGACAGCACAUAUCCUUCAGAGACUGAUGUUGGAAAGUUCUGCAGGGACAAUCAGUUGGCCCCAAUCAAAUUCUUUUCCUCUGCUUCCCCUUUAUACCAAAACCUCUGAGAAGAGCCCCUCUCUCAGUCUCUGCUCUUCACACACAUGAACUAAGUACAGGGAAAAGUUGAGGUGCUGUAAGCUGCCUCCUGAGGAAGUCCACACAUGGUUGGGGUUUGAGAAGAGCCCUGAACAUUCUGGUCAUUGCCAUCCUAAGUAGCAAUAACCUGCUAAGGUCAACAUACUGCAAAGAUUCAACACCGCAUACCCAAGCCACACAUUCAUAAAGCCAAUCUUUCAACUGAAAAAUCAGCUUUUGUGCAAUGCUAGGCUGCAAAUCACUAGAAUUAAAAAAAAAAAAAAAA
rnacentral:lncRNA from 1 species